rnacentral:rRNA from 1 species
AACUAGUCCUCCUUCGGGCAAUUUUCAAGGUGCUGCAUGAUUGUCGUCAGCUCGUGCCGUGAGGUGUUGGGUUAAGUCCCGCAACGAGCGCAACCCCUACUGUUAGUUGCCAGCAUGUAAUGAUGGGGACUCUAGCAGAACUGCCAGCGCAAGCUGUGAGGAAGGUGGGGAUGACGUCAAAUCAUCACGGCCCUUACGUCCUGGGCUACACACGUGCUACAAUGGUCGAUACAGAGGGCAGCCACCUGGUGACAGGGAGCAAAUCCUUAAAAUCGAUCUCAGUUCGGAUUGGAGUCUGCAACUCGACUCUAUGAAGCUGGAAUCGCUAGUAAUCGCAUAUCAGCCAUGAUGCGGUGAAUACGUUCCCGGGCCUUGUACACACCGCCCGUCAAGCCAUGGAAGUUGGGGGUGCCUGAAAACCGUAACCGUAAGGAGCGGUCUAGGGUAAACUUGAUAACUGGGGUUAAGUCGUAACAAGGUAACCGU